CUGGCUGCCACUGGUGGGAUGUGGCCUCUUGUAGGCCAGCAUAAGCUAGGUAGUCGCUGUUUUUAUGGAUGGUUAUAUUGAAUGGAUUUUAUUCUGUGCUUUGCCAUGAUACCAGUACCGAUGAAAGGGAAUCAAUAAAACAAUGGCCUUUUUAUAGAAAUGGCAAAGGCCCUGGCUUUUGUACUGAUUUUGCAGGUAGGAG